rnacentral:rRNA from 1 species
UACGUAGGGUGCAAGCGUUAAUCGGAAUUACUGGGCGUAAAGCGUGCGCAGGCGGUUGUGCAAGACCGAUGUGAAAUCCCCGAGCUUAACUUGGGAAUUGCAUUGGUGACUGCACGGCUAGAGUGUGUCAGAGGGGGGUAGAAUUCCACGUGUAGCAGUGAAAUGCGUAGAGAUGUGGAGGAAUACCGAUGGCGAAGGCAGCCCCCUGGGAUAACACUGACGCUCAUGCACGAAAGCGUGGGGAGCAAACAGG